GGCCGGGUGGUGUGAGGGGAUCUGGUGGUGCGGCUGCUUUGCCGGUGAAGCGAGGGAUGCCGCGUGUAGCAGUAACAUCAGCCGCUGGCUGCUAAAGGCGGGGAAAGCUCGCAUUGCCAAACUGCCCUCAGAGCUGAACUUCGUGCGCCGGAGCUGCGUCCCGCCUGUUUAUUGGACUGAUUUCUUAAUUUCUGGUUUCUUAAUUUCUGACCUCCCGGCUUCUCUUCACCUUUGCACCUGAAACACCAGACGCAUCUGUAGUGCCCUCGCAGCUACGGACUCACGGUCAGGGGUGAGGUGGGGUUAAGGAGCCGCUCUAGUCUAACAUCCCUGCAAGAACUGCUUAUCCAUGAAGAGAGCACCGGGGAAAGCGUGGGAGUGGCUGUGUGCUGCUGCAGAUGCUGCCGUGUUGAUGAGACGACGAGAAAGGAUUCAGGCGAGGUCCAUCCAGCAGUGAGUUCCUCCCCGCCACCAGCCCGGCUCAUCACAGCACUCGUGCUGCAGCCACCCUGCCAGAACCCCCUGGGUUAGGAACAGAAACAUUGCUGUGGAAGAAUUUAUUAAUGAGCUCAAGAUCGUGCCCCACUGAUGUGUCGCCGUGGCAGGGGAACAACCUGGAGAGAGAGCAUUGCCUUCCAUGCCAGCUGGAGUCCCUUGGACUUUGGUGAGAACUAACAUUAAAUGAGUCAAAUGCC